GUCUUUCCUUUCUCCUCCCGGUGGCUUCCCUGUUCCUGUCCCUGGCUUUCCUGGCUUUUUGGAUCCCCAUCCUGGCUCUGGGGGGAAGGAGGAUGGGUCUGGAGCACCUGUGAGACCCGAGCCUGGGCCCACCACAGCAGAGGAUGCAGCCUCCCAACCCCAAGAGUCCCAGAUUGGAGUCCCUGAGAGAAGCUGGGCCCCGUUUAACCGGACAGAGGAUGACUUUCUUCUCUGGAGUGCUCUGGGUCACGCUUGGGGACACAUGAAGGAUACGCCCUCCCUUUCAGGCUCCCAUCGCACGUUGAACCUGGCUUGUGAACACAGCCCUCUGGGACACUACUAGGAACAAAGUGUUCCGGAUGCUGCAGAAGCUCAGCUGCCACCUGGAAAACCUGUUUGGCCACUUUAGGUCCAGAUGACGGGAGCCAGUCCGGCUCAGGAGAACAGAGCUGGCCCAGUAACACCUCGCUUCCUCCCUGCUGCAGAGACCUGGGAGGGCCCUGCCCAGCACAGCACACUGGAGUGGCCCUGCGGCAGCAUCUGGGCUGCUGUACCCAUGGUGCCUCCCAGCCCGAGGGGCUCCCGGCAGCUCUGGAGACUCCUGCUGUCACGUCACCUGGCCCCUCACCAUCACCAUCCUCAUCUCUCUUGGGAAUUAAGACAUUGAAGGAACUGCUGCUGCCAGCAAGAGAGGCUGUUGCAAGAAAGAAAGGCUGCUGCAAGAAACGCAAGAAAGGCUGCUGCCAGCAUUGCAUUUCUGUCAAGAAGCUGCCCCGCAAAAUUUAUGGAUGUAUCGCUGUAUGCACCUAAUAGCAAGCUCUACUGGAUGAAUGGCUUAUAAAGAUCUCCCCUGAAUAAAAUUGUGGUUUUUAAC
rnacentral:lncRNA from 1 species